rnacentral:rRNA from 1 species
AGUCGAGCGGCAUCGAGUGAAGCGCAGUUUACUGAGUUCAUGUCGGCGAGCGGCGGACGGGUGAGUAAAGUCUGGGAAUCUGGCCGAAGGAGGGGGAUAACUGCUGGAAACGGCAGCUAAUACCGCAUGAAGUCGCGAGACCAAAGUGGGGGACCUUCGGGCCUCACGCCUUCGGAUGAGCCCAGAUGAGAUUAGCUGGUAGGUAAGGUAAAGGCUUACCUAGGCGACGAUCUCUAGCGGGUCUGAGAGGAUAGCCCGCCACACUGGAACUGAGACACGGUCCAGACUCCUACGGGAGGCAGCAGUGGGGAAUAUUGCACAAUGGGCGAAAGCCUGAUGCAGCCAUGCCACGUGUGUGAAGAAGGCCUUCGGGUUGUAAAGCACUUUCAGCGAGGAGGAAGCGAUAAAUGCCA